AGUGUGGCAGAACUCUUCACUUUAAUGGAAAUGCUCUUUAUGAUUCAUUGAAAACAUCAUGCAGGUUUCUGGUAAUGUCUUCUAUCAAGUUGCUUAAGAAAAACUUUUCUCAUCAGGAAUAAUUGCUAAUUUUGUUUCUACGUACGUGCAAUUUCCUGGUGCAUGUGAUUAUCAAACUCCAUGACAAGUAACUGCUGAAGUCCCUUCCCAGCUCCCCUUCCUUCUUCUGAUGGAACAGGCUCCUGAUUGAUUUUUGACUCCAAAUGGGCCAUCUUUAAUUAGGCUCACAGAAGAUGGUCUUCUCUAUACGAAAACAUGGAUGUCAAGAGUUGUUUUCAGACAUGAGCAAUGACUGCCCUCUGUUGUUCCCAAAUUAGGAAAAUGGAGCUUCCAAAAGCUGGAUGCCAGUGGAAAAAUCAACAAAUACAGCUGUCACUGAAGAAAGCAGUUCAAUGAAAUUUUAUUUUACCCUUUGCCAACCUGAACUCACCAAUGUGCAGGCGACAUAUGUUUAGAAUUAGCAAGUAAGGUUUUUAUCCUUCAUUUCCCCAUUUCCCAUCCCCCACUCUUGAGGUUGCUUGUCCAAAAUGGAACGAAGCUUCCGGGCUCCUUGGAGGUCACCCGUCUCCCAAUACAGGUGCAGUGGAAACCUGUUUACUGAGCUCUCAUUAGGUCUGGAGCUGUUUUACUUUCAUAGCUCUCUGGAGGGCUAAUGAGCUUUUAAGAAACACUUGCAGCAACUCCAGAUUCUACACAGCAACCUAAUUUUUCAGAGAAUGUUUUCAAGAGUACCUUGUUGGGGGGCAAAUUCCUUGCCCAGAUAAAUGGGAUUGCGAAUAUGAGAGAAGUUAAUCCAACAUCCACAUUCACUUCCUUUUUUUUUUUUUAACUGAUAUGCCCAAGCUCUAAAGCCUUCAUUUCCUCUUCAUUUGCAAUGGUAAAGCCUCCUUGACCAGAAAAAUAAAUGUGCAGUUGGCAAGAGCUGAAAAGAGGUCUGCUUAAAUGAUUUUUAAUUUAUGUUAAAAUGCUAAGAGCAGUUUUCCAGGUCCCUGUUGAAUACCUCACAAAAUUAAGUUUUUUGAAGCCUACCUUUAAAAAAAGAACUAAAAGAGUUCAAAACAUUCCUUUUAAUUUUAGCUGCCCCAACUAUAUCUUUUCUUCUUGCCCUACUGGGAUCCAGCAGCUAGUUAGGGGUUUAUACUUCGUUGGUCUUAGAGCUCUGGUCUGGAAGUCAGAGACCUGUCUUCUAUCCUUGCCCCCAAAACAAAAAGUGGUGUUACCCUGAGCUUAUCGAAUGUACCUCUGUUUCUCUUCUUGUAAAAUGAAUAGUGACUUGAUGUAAAGAAUCAUAACCAUGUCUUUACAAAAUAUUUAGCAUUUCUUGGUGUUUUUAC